CGCAUAUUGCACCUUAGAGUAUUCUUUAAGGUAUACCUGUUUGAGCGUCGUUUGAACACAUAAAGCAUUGCUUUUUGUUAGAUUUUGGUUAAAAGAUUAAUCAAUUUCUUAAACAUAAUGGCAUUAUUUUAUUGAUCAAUACACAGUGAAGAUGUGUGCCAUAUCAAUAAAAUUCAAUAGCCAAUAACCCAAAUUAUUAAUAGUUUCGACCUCAAAUCAAGUAAGACUACCCGCUGAACUUAA
rnacentral:misc_RNA from 1 species